rnacentral:rRNA from 1 species
GUGGGGAAUCUUCCGCAAUGGACGAAAGUCUGACGGAGCAACGCCGCGUGAGUGAUGAAGGUCUUCGGAUUGUAAAGCUCUGUUAAUCGGGACGAAAGAGCCUAGUGUGAAUAAUGCUAGGAAGUGACGGUACCGGAAUAGAAAGCCACGGCUAACUACGUGCCAGCAGCCGCGGUAAUACGUAGGUGGCAAGCGUUGUCCGGAAUUAUUGGGCGUAAAGCGCGCGCAGGCGGAUCUGUCAGUCUGUCUUAAAAGUUCGGGGCUUAACCCCGUGAUGGGAUGGAAACUACAGAUCUAGAGUAUCGGAGAGGAAAGUGGAAUUCCUAGUGUAGCGGUGAAAUGCGUAGAUAUUAGGAAGAACACCAGUGGCGAAGGCGACUUUCUGGACGAAAACUGACGCUGAGGCGCGAAAGCCAGGGGAGCGAACGGGAUUAGAAACCCUGGGAGUCC